rnacentral:rRNA from 1 species
UUUGAAAUCCUUCGGGAGUUGUAAUUUGUAGGUUGGGAGACCCCGCGGCUAGUGGCACCAAGUCCCUUGGAACAGGGCGCCUUAGAGGGUGAGAGCCCCGUAGGUACCACAACACCGUCUUGUGUCUCCUCUCCAAAGAGUCGAGUUGUUUGGGAAUGCAGCUCAAAGUGGGUGGUAAAUUCCAUCUAAAGCUAAAUACCGGCGAGAGACCGAUAGCGAACAAGUACAGUGAUGGAAAGAUGAAAAGCACUUUGAAAAGAGAGUGAAACAGUACGUGAAAUUGUUGAAAGGGAAGGGCUUGCAAGCAGACACGGCCUUCGUGCCGGGCCAGCAUCGGUUGCUAGGGGUGGAUAAGGAACAAGGAAUGUAGCUCCUCGGAGUAUUAUAGCCUUGCGCGAUACACCCACUGGCGACCGAGGCCUGCGGUAUUCCUACCUAGGAUGCUGGCGUAAUGGUUGCAAGCCGCCCGU